GGCGGAGUCACUCUGCCCUCCUCGCUCCGAAGUGCGCCUUCUGCCAAUCCCGGGGCCGCGUAGGGGUGAUGGACGCAAGCGUAUGACCAAUGAGGAGGAGAAGCUGCCGCAGGGAGCCAGAGGGGAAGGAGUGGGCGGGCCAACGCCCUCCCCUCCCUCAGGCGCCCAGGUCCUCCCUCCUGCCCAUUUCGGCACUACUCCAUGAUUUCAGCCUGUAUCCUAAGCCCACCUAAGAAAAUGAACCCGGCUGCAGACUUCUCUUAGUGUCCAGAUGUGUACCCAUUGCCCCUCAGCGUUUUGAAACUUCUUUGGAGUUUGGCAGUGCAAGGAGGCCAGCAUCCUCAUCCCAGGACAUAGUCGUCUGCAGGAGGUCUCUACUGAUCUCAUCUGGUCUGGUCAAGACUUGGCUGGACUCAGCCGAAUUCAGCUGGGCUUUGCUCCAGGACACAGGUUAAGUUCAGGUGAGGAUUUGGUGGUGGUUUGCACAGUGAAUUCUGGAGGGAAGAGUCUGUCAACAGAGAGCCUGGUCAGAAGAUAAAUGCAAGAAUCCCAGAGGGGAUCUGGGCUGAAGGCCUGCAAAGAGGAGAGAAGGGAAGGGACUGGAUGAGGCUCAAAAAUAGAAUGUGGAGCAAAAAAAGCAAGUCAUCAAAGAUUCCAUCUAUUUCUAGUUCAAAAGGCAAAUACAACUAAAUACUGUGUUAUUCAGGAACACAUACAUAACCAUUACAACUAUAAAGCAAAACAAAAUUCAGAAAGGUAGUUCCCGAGAGAAGCCAGUGAGGCAGAUGUGUUCAGAAAUGGGCACACAGGGGCUUCUUAAGGGGCUGGUAAUUGUCCAUUUCUUAGGCUGGGUGGUAGACACGUGAGCGGCCAAUUAUUUUUUGAACAGUACCCUUUCAUCUUAUACAGGCACACCUCAGAGACAUUGCUGGUUUGGUUCCAGACCACCACAGUAAAGCAAAUAUUGCAAUAAAGCAAGUCACGAAUUUUUUGGUUUCUCAGUGCGUGUAAAAGUUAUGUUUACACUCCACUGUAGUCUAUUAAGUGUGCAAUAACAUAAUGUCUAAAAAACAACGUACAUACCUUAAUUUAAAAAUACUUUAUUAGGCAGUUUGGGAUUGACAUGUACACACUGCUAUAUUUAAAAUGGAUAACCAACAAGGACCUACUGUAUAGCACAGGGAACUCUGCUCAAUAUUAUGUGACAGACUAAGUGCGAAAAUAAUUUGAAAAAGAAUAGAUACAUGUAU